UACGUUGUUAGAGAAGAAAGUAGCGUGAGAGUAACUGUUCACGUUUCGACGGUAUCUAACCAGAAAGCCACGGCUAACUACGUGCCAGCAGCCGCGGUAAUACGUAGGUGGCAAGCGUUAUCCGGAUUUAUUGGGCGUAAAGGGAACGCAGGCGGUCUUUAAGUCUGAUGUGAAAGCCUUCGGCUUAACCGGAGUAGUGCAUUGGAAACUGGGAGACUUGAGUGCAGAAGAGGAGAGUGGAACUCCAUGUGUAGCGGUGAAAUGCGUAGAUAUAUGGAAGAACACCAGUGGCGAAAGCGGCUCUCUGGUCUGUAACUGACGCUGAGGUUCGAAAGCGUGGGUAGCAAACAGGAUUAGAUACCCUGGUAG
rnacentral:rRNA from 1 species